UAAGCAAUAAAAUGAUAAAGA
rnacentral:piRNA from 1 species